ensembl:lncRNA
AUGUUUGAUGUUGUGCUCAGUCGACGCUGUCGGCUCUCGGAGCAGAAGCAGCAGGAUGCUGAAUCUCGCCCUACCUGUUCUCUCUCAUGGUACACACCGUCCCGCUCAACUGUGGCCUCAACGGCUGCACCAUUAGGGAAGCGCUGGACUUUUUCCUGUCUUUCUUUUUGGAGAUCAAUGCAGUGCCGAAACCCGGACUUUAAACAGAUCAGCAAACAACAAAUAAGCAAUCGCCCUCCUUUGUUUUUUUUCUAUCCGAUUGUUGUCUCUCCACGAGAACAACGUGUUCUCAAAUUGAGUGUGUGCGUGUGCACAGAUGCACCUGUAUUUCCAUAUAACGCCAUAGCCACAUUGUUACCACACCUACGUCUUAAUGCUGACACCACGUCUCCGUCUAUGAUGGAAGGAAUCACUGAAUGGGGAGGCUGGCUGGGUCUGGAGAGGGCCAAGUCAACGCGUACCGAUAGCUUUGCACAUGCACACCGAGCAUCAGAGAACGUUGACUAUGGAGAAUGGACCUCAUGGUUAAUGUCUCCGACAUGACCCCCCGUCCCUAUAGGUUGUGUAACACGUCAGUGUCAGCUGCAGCGACCUGCCACACACGUCCUUAUACCGUUAAUAACGAGGGGAUGAUUCACUGUAACUGAACACGGCCUCGUCCCCUGCAGCCAUGAGCUUGUGCGGAGAACCUGAAUUUCUGCAUAUCUCUUGGAAGGCUUUUUUGUUGAAGAUCUACUUGCCGGGGCAGAUGUAAAGAGGGACGUGUCGUGUUUAGUAUCACAGGCCCCCCCCUUUGUUCAGAGACUGGGAUUCCUCUAAUCAUCACAGGGAUCUCGGGGUCCGGCCGUGGAAACGCCCCACAAUAACCGUUUACUGGGAGUGCACGCUACUUGUGGUGCAGUGACUGUUUUUGCUUUUAUUCGUGCCAUAUGGCUGUCACACGCUGGGGGGGGGGGGAGAAACCCCCCGUACGCACUGCAACGCAACACUAAAUAUUCACACACAUUGUGGUAACCGGAUGGUAAUCUCACCGGAGGUGAUUGGUGGGUGACGAAGGAUUUAUCGUGAGGCGGCUGCAGUUUGUUCUCAGUUAUUUUUCAAUCUGUCAGUAUCAUCGAAAACGUUCAACCAAUUUAGCGGCGCUUCUUUUUUAUACCGAUUAUUAUUGUGUCUUAAAAUAGUUUUUGCAGAUUUAAUUCUCAUCCUCAGAGGUCACAGCUCGCAAGUCAUUUGUCGCGAUGUAGUGACGAGUCACAGUUUGCCGCACGGCCGUUUUGCUCACUUUCACACCGAAAAUCUAAGAUUUAUGAUCAAAAAACGGGAGUGCUGCAGAGUAAAUGAUGAUAAGAUAAUAAAACGCAACGCACACUGUUGCAGCUCUCAUCGGCGCCGGAGCAGAGGAAAAAAAAAGGAUAAGCUAAGCGAGGACGCUUGUUGUUUGAAUUUUUGAUUGUAGCCAUCUGCAACGUUGCUGGUGUCAUUUAUUUUCAAUGACAGGGAGAAUCUUACCCGACUUUCCCUGUGGAUCUCGUGUGUGU